UGUGACGUUACCAAACUGUUGCCUCGGCGGGAUCUCUGCCCCGGGUGCGUCGCAGCCCCGGACCAAGGCGCCCGCCGGAGGACCAACCAAAACUCUUAUUGUAUACCCCCUCGCGGGUUUUUUACUAUCUGAGCCAUCUCGGCGCCCCUCGUGGGCGUUUCGAAAAUGAAUCAAAACUUUCAACAACGGAUCUCUUGGUUCUGGCAUCGAUGAAGAACGCAGCGAAAUGCGAUAAGUAAUGUGAAUUGCAGAAUUCAGUGAAUCAUCGAAUCUUUGAACGCACAUUGCGCCCGCCAGUAUUCUGGCGGGCAUGCCUGUCCGAGCGUCAUUUCAACCCUCGAACCCCUCCGGGGGGUCGGCGUUGGGGAUCGGCCCUUUACGGGGCCGGCCCCGAAAUACAGUGGCGGUCUCGCCGCAGCCUCUCCUGCGCAGUAGUUUGCACACUCGCAUCGGGAGCGCGGCGCGUCCACAGCCGUUAAACACCCCAAACUUCUGAAAUGUUGACCUCGGAUCAGGUAGGAAUACCCGCUGAACUUAAGCAUAUCAA
rnacentral:rRNA from 1 species